rnacentral:ncRNA from 1 species
AACAGCCGACAGGGGAGCGCCCACAGCGCUGAGAGUGCGGCCGUACGUCCGUGCGCGCCGCAGACCCUCGAACCUCGCCCGGGUCAUGCCGGGUAGGAAGUCGAUGCACUGAUGAA